rnacentral:lncRNA from 1 species
AGCACAGCUACAGAGGUUCAGGAAAACCAACCCCAGGAGCGUGGAUGUUCACUGCCUUCCUUCAACCACUCCAGGCAGGAUUCCUGCGGAGCUGUAUUUACUUUACAUCCAUGUGAACUGCUGUCAUCACUACUGUGUCCAAGCCCAGAGGAUGAACUGGAAAAGAAGAGAGGGGGAAAAUAAUAAAAAGAGGAAAUUGGUUUUCACAACACACUCAAAGCCUGAGUAACAGAGGAGAACUUUAAUUAUCUCCAGUCACAAAGAGAGACAGGAAAUUUGGACUUUUAAUUAGCCAUUUGGAGUGCAGUUGGGUAUUUUUUUAGCUAGAUAAUUUAAACGCGAAUAAUUCAAGUCUGACUAAAUGAAAGUCACAUAAUCAGAAUGCAAAUAAUUGAAUUUCUACUGCAUUCAUUAAUUCAGUGUGGAGGUGUGUGUGAAGACUACUAUGAUGAGCUGUCACAGCUCAAUAAAAUCUCAGUCAAUUAAUUUUUUCAUUAUCUUAGUAUUAUAUCAACAAAAAAGUGAAGUGUGUAUAUAUAUCUAUACACGUGCAUAUGUGCAUACUAUGUAUUAUAUAAAUACAUAUACAUUAAAUCAAAAUGCAAGGAAAUACCUUUCUGAAUCAUAA